AUACGGAGGGUGCGAGCGUUAAUCGGAAUUACUGGGCGUAAAGCGUACGUAGGCGGUUGGUUAAGUUAGAUGUGAAAGCCCCGGGCUUAACCUGGGAACUGCAUUUAAAACUGGCGAACUAGAGUUGAGUAGAGGGGAGUGGAAUUUCAGGUGUAGCGGUGAAAUGCGUAGAGAUCUGGAGGAACACCAGUGGCGAAGGCGACUCCCUGGACUCGAACUGACGCUGAGGUACGAAAGCGUGGGUAGCAAACGGGAUUAGAAACCCUAGUAGUCC
rnacentral:rRNA from 1 species